AAAAACACCCUUCCACGUGAACCGUUUUGUUUUGCUUUCGAGUGCUUUGUUGCGCUCGGAGCAUGUUUGGGCUUCGCUGCUGGCGCUUGAUUGUGCUGGCGGCUCGAGGCCAUCAAGCGGCGUUUUGAGUGUGCUUGCGCAAUUGAAACGUCCAAACCUUUUAAACCCAUUUGAUUGCAAACUGAAGUAUACUGUGGGGACGAAAGUCCUCGCUUUGAAACUAGAUAACAACUUUCAGCAGUGGAUGUCUAGGCUCGCACAUCGAUGAAGAACGCUGCGAACUGCGAUACGUAAUGCGAAUUGCAGGAUUCAGUGAGUCAUCGAACUUUUGAACGCAUAUUGCACUUUCGGGUUACGCCUGGAAGUAUGUCUGUAUCAGUGUCCGUACACUAAACUUGCGUCUCUUCCGUCGUGUAGUCGUCGGUUGUUUUGAUUGCAGAUGUGAGGUUGUCUCGCGAUCCGUUGCUUGUCGACAGGGUUGCGAGUCCCUUUAAAGUCGGACGCGUGUUUUUUUUUCCGUUUUGUGCUCGAUGGGGUGCGGCUGCGGCCGUGUCUGCUGGCGGGUCCGGUGACCUUUGGMGAUGGCAUGAGAGUGGAUUGCUCGAUUUGCGGUAUGUUAGGCUUCGGCUUUGMCAAUGCAGCUUAUUGGGKGUGUUCGCUUGGCKGUUSCUGUAUGGGGUGAGCUGGAUGGUCGGGG
rnacentral:misc_RNA from 1 species